rnacentral:rRNA from 1 species
GACGAACGCUGGCGGCGUGCUUAACACAUGCAAGUCCAACGAAGUGGCUAACGGGUGAGUAACGCGUCAUCAACCUGCCCUUCAGAGGGGGACAACAGUUGGAAACGACUGCUAAUACCGCAUACUGAAGGAGGGGCUUGCGUCUGAUCAGCGAGUUGGAGGGGUAACGGCCCACCAAGGCGAUGAUCAGUAGCCGGGCUGAGAGGAUGAACGGCCACAUUGGGACUUAGACACGGCCCAGACUCCUACGGGAGGCAGCAGUGGGGAAUCUUCCGCAAUGGACGAAAGUCUGACGGAGCAACGCCGCGUGAGUGAUGACGGCCUUCGGGUUGUAAAGCUCUGUUAAUCGGGACGCGGUACCGGAAUAGAAAGCCACGGCUAACUACGUGCCAGCAGCCGCGGUAAUAC